GGGUCGUUGAUUCAGCCGUGUAGUCAGAAGAUGCACACUGGCUUUAAUGCUCCACCGCCCACCCGCCAUCUUAACGUCCUUUAUCAAGUGUGGACAACAACCUUUUUCUUUCACUCACCGACAGUGCUUUGCAAGAUAGACAGCCUCUCUAGGGUUUUUCAACCAUCGACGCCCCCCAGGAGAGAGAUGACAAGAUGCUAACCCCAUAUGAAGUCGGAUCUCAGGCCCACUCAGUACCAAGGCCAUUUUAACUGCAAGGCCAUUCUAUAUUAACGUGAGUGAGUUUGCGUUAGACGGUACCGCUCAGCUCUGUAUCUGGAGAGCAGAGACGUUAGGUUCCUCAAAAGUCGUCUUCAAACGCAAUGAAUAUUAGCGGCAUCGCUAUUUCUUGGUGGAAUGAUGUAUGCUAGGGAGUCCGCAUGAAAAAUGGCUCUAGGGAAGUGGUUCUCAACCUGUGGGUCAUGACCCCUUUGGGGGGGGUGUCCCAUAUCAGAUAUCCUGCAUAUCAGAUAUUUACACCCUGAUUUGUAACAGUAGCAAACUUGCAGUUAUGGCGUGAGGAGCUGUAUCGGAGGGUGGCAGCAUUAGGAAGCUUGAAAACCACUGCUGUGGAGCAUCAGUGCGUGCAUUUCUAUCAAAACAGUGUCUGUCAAGGAAAAGCAGAUUUGGAAAUCAAACACCAAAGCAAAAUACUCCAGAGUAGGUAAACAAAAGUCUUAUGAACCAAACUGAGAAACUCUACAUUUAUGUAAACCAACUCUGUGCGGGAUGCAGCUGUGUAUAGCGUGGGUAGAGCCAACCCUAAGACUUGAGGCUGCCGGAGUCAACCCCCUUCUGUGAGCAUCCAUGUCACCCAGGAAUAAUUGAUGCUUUUUUCGGCUGCUCGAACCCCUAGCUAGGGCUGGAGUUUGGGGCUGGGGUGGUUUCAGAUGGCUGCUUCAAGUAUAUGAGGAAAUUAACGUUGACCUCAGGUUUAACCAGAAGUUGGGAGCCGGACUCUACACUUUCCUACUGUAGCACUGAAGCACUGUAGCACGUUCUCUUCUCAGAAGUGACAACUCUGGUUUGUCACUCCUCAAGAAUCAAGCCAGAGUUUUGUAUGCAAAUUAACUGUACAGCGGUGAUUGUAGAAGAGCCCAACUGUGGACCUAUUUAAACAACUAUGAAUGAAGCGCUUGGAGGAUGCUCUGGGCCCCAGAGAUGCUAUUGCCAUCGUCAUAGAAACAAAAAGGACUGACACAAACCAGGGGAAAUGCCUAUCCUGGGCUUGGCAUGUAUGCUGGAUUAAUUUAAUAUUAAAAAAUAGAAUAG
rnacentral:lncRNA from 1 species